rnacentral:rRNA from 1 species
GACGAACGCUGGCGGCGUGCUUAACACAUGCAAGUCGAACGGAAAGGCCCUUUCGGGGGUACUCGAGUGGCGAACGGGUGAGUAACACGUGGGUGAUCUGCCCCGAACUUCGGGAUAAGCCUGGGAAACUGGGUCUAAUACCGGAUAUGACCUUCUCCUGCAUGGGGGUUGGUGGAAAGCUUUUGCGGUUUGGGAUGGGCCCGCGGCCUAUCAGCUUGUUGGUGGGGUAAUGGCCUACCAAGACGACGACGGGUAGCCGACCUGAGAGGGUGAUCGGCCACACUGGGACUGAGACACGGCCCAGACUCCUACGGGAGGCAGCAGUGGGGAAUAUUGCACAAUGGGCGCAAGCCUGAUGCAGCGACGCCGCGUGAGGGAUGACGGCCUUCGGGUUGUAAACCUCUUUCACCAGGGACGAAGCGUGAGUGACGGUACCUGGAGAAGAAGCACCGGCCAACUACGUGCCAGCAGCCGCGGUAAUAC